rnacentral:rRNA from 1 species
UACGUAGGGAGCAAGCGUUGUCCGGAAUCAUUGGGCGUAAAGAGCGCGCAGGCGGUCCGAUAAGUCGGCUGUGAAAGUCCAGGGCUCAACCCUGGGAUGCCGGUCGAUACUGCCGGACUAGAGUUCGGAAGAGGCGAGUGGAAUUCCCGGUGUAGCGGUGAAAUGCGCAGAUAUCGGGAGGAACACCUAUGGCGAAGGCAGCUCGCUGGGACGUUACUGACGCUGAGACGCGAAAGCGUGGGGAGCAAACAGG